CCGCAGAACUGCUGGCUCCCUAUACCGGCGAUAUUGCCGCCGAGGGAGUGAGUAAAUUUCUGCGCGGCGGGGCAAAAUUUUUACAGCAGGGGCUGGCACGUCAGCAGCGCUACGUUGCAGAAACGCUGACUGAAGAGUGGCGCCUUGCACCGGGUGCGCUGGAAAUCGCCUGGUUUGCUGAAGAAACGAUGGCCGUUGAGCGCGAGCUUGCCGCCCUGACCAAACGGUUGGAAAAACUGGAGGGGAAAUGA
rnacentral:sRNA from 1 species